UAUCGCCGCCCCCAAAAGAGACGGAGAGAGAUGGGGAGUUCAUCGGAGGAAGCGGCGUGCCCUGUGCCGAUCCCAACUCUAAACCCUAACGUGAGUCCUAUGAGGGCCGGCAAGAAAAAGAAGACGAAGAAGCAGGCUCAGAGGAGGAUGGAAGAAGCGGUGGAGGAUAUGGGAUUGGAAGAGGCGUGGAAGGCUGCGUGGCCGCGGAAGAGCCGCCCCGGCGGAGGAGUCACGCUCGAGGGCUACGUGGAAGUGCCUGAGGGAGCGGGUCGGAGCGCGAAAGUCGCGGACGGCGCGGACGUCGUCGGGAGGACGAGGAGCCUCACUGAUGACGACCUGGACGAGCUCAAGGGGUGCUUGGACCUGGGGUUCGGCUUCAGCUACGAGGAGAUCCCGGAGCUCCGCGGCACGCUCCCCGCCUUGGAGCUAUGCUACUCCAUGAGUCGACUGAUGGAGCCGGCGGGCGAAGCGUCCGUGGCGGCGGAGCCGUGCGCUGCGCCUCCCGUCGCCAACUGGAAGAUCUCCAGUCCGGGUAAGAUUCCAUCUUCUCUUCUUGUCGCGUAAAGAUCUGGUUUUCAGAGGAUCUCGUUCGAUUGCCCUGAUGGGAGAUUCCGAUCCGGAAGAAAAGAUCCGAACUUUAUGGAGGGUCGUAUGCAUCAGUAACGAAUGAUUCCACUUAAUGAAUCCAGCAAUAACUCCAAUUUUCCUCAUGGUUCUCUAUAUGAUCAGCUAAUACUGAUCUUUCAAGAUUCUUUCAAGACCAAUUUGAGGUGACCAUCCUGAAGAUGUUAAAGCAAGACUGAAAUAUUGGGCCCAAACAGUGGCAUGCACUGUCAAACUAUGCAACUGAUGGAGUAACCUCAAAAUUAUUUCUUGUUGAUCAAACAACCAGUGGUGCGAUGCCUUGGCAGAGCAAAUUCUGGACUCUGUGCUGCCUGAGAUGAUGCUCUCCAACACUGUCAGUUGGCACAGCCAGGCUCAGAUCUGAUGCAACUGAAGAAGCAGAGGCACAGUGAUCCAGGAGGAAGAAGAAGACAAGUGGUCCUGAAAUCUGAGAAUAAUGAUAGUUUCUUCUAGCAUGUAUAACCUGCAUCAUGUAGACGAUACUGUUUCAUGUAUGAUGUUAAUGGUAGAUUAAAAUGCAUUUCUGCUUCCUACCAAAA